ACGUUAAAUUUUCAUCCUGUGCCAACUCGAUGGUUUGUCUCCAUUCCUGUCCCAAUGACAUUUUCAAACAAUUGUGAUAAUAUUUAAGAAGUUGAGGCAACCUUUCCAUUUUGUUGAAAAUCUCCACGUAAACUUUCGAUUGGUCUAUAAAUUCAAGUGUAAGAUAGAAAGAGAGGGGGAAAAGUGGAACAGAAAUGGGAAUGAGAGAGACAGGAAGAUAAAGUUUUUAAACAGUUACCGCGUAUAGUUAAUUAUUGUUUCUCGUGUUUCGUUUAAAAGAAAAAAAGAAAGAGAGAGAUAGAAAAAAAAAACUAUUCGAAUUUACCAGCUGAGCUUACCAUAACGCAUAAGAACUUCCGGAGGUAUU
rnacentral:lncRNA from 1 species